rnacentral:rRNA from 1 species
AAAAAUUAGAGUACCGAAGUAGCGAUUUCCGCACUGACGAGAAAAGCCACUAUCGAGAGUAAAGGCACCCGUACCGCAAACCGACACAGGUAGGUGAGGAGAGAAUCCUAAGACGAGCGGGAGAAGCGUUGUUAAGGAACUCGGCAAAUUGACCCCGUAAGUUCGCGAGAAGGGGUGCCUCAGAGAUGAGGCCGCAGUGAAACGGCCCAAGCAACUGUUUAGCAAAAACACAGGUCUCUGCUAAAUCGAAAGAUGACGUAUAGGGGCUGACGCCUGCCCGGUGCUGGAAGGUUACGGGGAACUGUUAGCCGCGAGGCGAAGCAGUGAACUUAAGCCCCAGUAAACGGCGGCCGUAACGAUAACGGUCCUAAGGUAGCGAAAUUCCUUGUCGGGUAAGUUCCGACCCGCACGAAUGGCGUAAUGACUUGGGCACUGUCUCGACAACGCGCCCGGUGAAAUUGUAGUACUCGUGAAGAUGCGAGUUACCCGCGACAAGACGGAAAGACCCCAUGGAGCUUUACUGCAGCCUGAUACUGGGUUUCGGUAUUUCUUGUACAGGAUAGGUGGGAGACUGAGAAGCGUGGGCGCCAGCUUACGUGGAGCCGUCGUUGGGAUACCACUCUAGAAGUGCUGAGGCUCUAACCAGAGUCUGUGAACCAGGCUUGGGACACUGUCAGGUGGGCAGUUUGACUGGGGCGGUCGCCUCCUAAAAGGUAACGGAGGCGUCCAAAGGUUACCUCAGCGCGGUUGGAAAUCGCGCAUCGAGUGCAAAGGCAUAAGGUAGCCUGACUGUGAGAGGUACAUCUCGAGCAGGUACGAAAGUAGGGCUUAGUGAUCCGGUGGUAUGAAAGUGGGAUUGCCAUCGCUCAACGGAUAAAAGCUACCCUGGGGAUAACAGGCUGAUCUCCCCCAAGAGUCCACAUCGACGGGGAGGUUUGGCACCUCGAUGUCGGCUCAUCGCAUCCUGGAGCUGAAGUAGUUCCAAGGGUUUGGCUGUUUGCCAAUUAAAGCGGUACGCGAGCUGGGUUCAGAACGUCGUGAGACAGUUCGGUCCCUAUCUGUCGCGGGCGUAGGAUAUUUGAGGGGAUCUGUCCCUAGUACGAGAGGACCGGGAUGGACUGACCUCUGGUGCACCAGUUGUCAUGCCAAUGGCACGGCUGGAUAGCCAAGUCGGGAACAGGUAAACGCUGAAAGCAUCUAAGCGUGAAACUGACCCCAAGAUGAGAUAUCCCACCGAGAGAUCGGGUAAGGCCCCAUGCAGACGACGUGGUUGAUGGGUCAGGGGUGUAAGCGCAGUAAUGCGUUGAGCUAACUGAUACUAAUAGGUCGAGGGCUUGACC